rnacentral:rRNA from 1 species
GAGUUUGAUCGUGGCUCAGAUUGAACGCUGGCGGCAUGCUUUACACAUGCAAGUCGAGCGGCAGCGCGGGGGCAACCCUGGCGGCGAGCGGCGAACGGGUGAGUAACACAUCGGAACGUAUCCCGUAGAGGGGGAUAGCCCGGCGAAAGCCGGGAUUAAUACCGCAUAUGCUCUACGGAGGAAAGCGGGGGGCCCAGCAGGCAACUGAGGGGCCUCGCGCUAUGGGAGCGGCCGAUGGCCGAUUAGCUAGUUGGUGGGGUAAAGGCCUACCAAGGCGACGAUCGGUAGCUGGUCUGAGAGGAUGAUCAGCCACACUGGGACUGAGACACGGCCCCAGACUCCUACGGGAGGCAGCAGUGGGGAAUUUUGGACAAUGGGGGCAACCCUGAUCCAGCCAUGCCGCGUGCGGGAAGAAGGCCUCGGUUGGUAACCGUACGUUUA